GUUAAUUUAGCUUUUUCAAACCAAAGCACGAAAAGCUUAGAUGGUUUUCUUCUUUCUUC
rnacentral:tRNA from 1 species